AGUGAACGCUGGCGGCAGGCCUAACACAUGCAAGUCGAGCGGCAGCGCGGGGGCAACCCUGGCGGCGAGCGGCGGACGGGUGAGGAAUUCGUCGGAAUCUGCCUUUUUGUGGGGGAUAACGUAGGGAAACUUACGCUAAUACCGCAUACGUCCUACGGGAGAAAGUGGGGGACCGCAAGGCCUCACGCAGAAAGAUGAGCCGACGACCGAUUAGCUAGUUGGUGGGGUAAAGGCCCACCAAGGCGACGAUCGGUAGCUGGUCUGAGAGGAUGAUCAGCCACACUGGGACUGAGACACGGCCCAGACUCCUACGGGAGGCAGCAGUGGGGAAUAUUGGACAAUGGGCGCAAGCCUGAUCCAGCCAUGCCGCGUGUAUGAAGAAGGCCUUCGGGUUGUAAAGCACUUUUGUCCGGAAAGAAAUCCCUGGAGCUAAUACCUUCGGGGGAUGACGGUACCGGAAGAAUAAGCACCGGCUAACUUCGUG
rnacentral:rRNA from 1 species